UACGUAGGGCGCAAGCGUUGUCCGGAAUUAUUGGGCGUAAAGAGCUCGUAGGCGGUUUGUCGCGUCUGCUGUGAAAACCUAAGGCUCAACCUUGGGCUUGCAGUGGGUACGGGCAGACUAGAGUGCGGUAGGGGUGACUGGAAUUCCUGGUGUAGCGGUGGAAUGCGCAGAUAUCAGGAGGAACACCGAUGGCGAAAGGCAGGUCACUGGGCCGCAACUGACGCU
rnacentral:rRNA from 1 species